GGGGGUAUAGCUCAUUGGUGGAGCACGUGCUUAGCAUACACAAGGUCCUGGGUUCAAUCCCCAGUACCUCCA
rnacentral:tRNA from 1 species